rnacentral:lncRNA from 1 species
AUCUUUGUAAAUGAGGUGGGUCCAUAUCGUUUGAUGACUUCACGUUGAUUUUCAUGAUCCAACCACAACCCCAAUAGGGUGGACCAUCCUUAGGGAUCAGAAACACGCAUGCAUCAUGCAUCAUUAAAUAAUAAAAAACAUACAGGUUGGGCCAUCACACGCAUACAGGAUGGACCAUGCCAUCAGCUUUUCUCAAAGAAACUACAACGAUGAGGCCAUCCCAGAAAAAAAAGUUCUAAUGUGCCGAAACAAACCAAAACUAUCAUAUCUCUCUCCAAAUAGAAUAUGUGUCCAGACGGGAUCCAAAAAAACGUUCUUUCCAUCCCGCAAACAUGAGAAACUUAACCAUCCAUAUAAACCUUCCCCAUGACCUCAUAGGUUCAUUGUCCAAAGAUUUUAGGUUACAACUUCUACAUCAUCUUCCUCCCACAUCAUCUUCCUCCAGCGACUCAAACUUCGAGAUCAACUUCAGAAUUAGCACUUCGGAGUUGUCUUCCUCCAGCGGCCACAAGACAGCUCCAUCGAGCAAUUAGGCAACAUUAAGUAAGUUCUAUCUGAACAAAAUUAUAAAUCAUACCAAUUACUGGAUCGAUGAUGGUUCAAUUAUGCUCUAUGCAGUCCUCAUCUAAAAAUAUUUGACAUGUUACCUCAGAAAGUUGAUUAUAUAGAAUCCUAUAGGUGUGGCUUCAUGUCUUAAUGGUGUCAGGUUCUUCAUACUUUUUACCCAUCUACAGAAGGUAAUGCCAUGGAUGUUGCUCUCUACAAUAUAGAGAAACAUAUAUGGUGCAUCAGAUGGUGUUCAUAUUAUAGAUCAGACCUAUUGUUAUAGAUCAGACCUAUUAAUGGAUCAUUAAUACUUAGAUUAUACUGUAGGCAGUGCUAAUCUAAAAAGAUUUCAGGUGUUAGCUCACAAGUUUCAUUAUGUACAAACAUAUAUAGAGAAACAUACAUAGAUGGCUUCCAUGUUUGAUCAACCUCAGAUGCUAAUAGUGGUUUCCUGUCAUAAUGCCAGCAGCUCCAUCUGAAACAAGCAUAAAGAGCAAUUGUCAAUAAAAUUGUAGAAGAUACAUAGCAUGAUUGGAACAUAUAAACGUUCCCAAAAACACCUCCUUAUGAUUGACAUGUGGCUCUCUUACUCUUCAUGUCACAAAUAUGAUAUCACCUGUCAAAAUCAAAUAAAAAAUUGAUAUAUAAACAAGAGAAUAAAUUAAAUCACUAUAAAACAGACUAAAGGAAAACCUUCUGCUAUAAAACUUCUAGAUGGGUGCUGGCUUGGAUGUUCGGCAGAGUAGAAAUCAUGUACAUCGUCAACACACACCGCAUGGUGAUGCACAAGAUGCCCUGGUAAAGUAUAGAUUAUGACAUAAGAGGUUAUGGAUUUGUGGAAGUGUGUGCGUUUGAGAGAUAGAGCGAGAGAGAUGGUGCAUGUCAUGUUGAUUUCUAGGGAAACCUUAAGGAUUGACGUGACUGAACCUAAACAUGUGGGCCAGAAACAACACUUCCACGCUGAUAAGUCCAGGAUGGCCCAAAUUACAAGCACGUUGGAUUAGAAUUCAAUACAAAAACUCAUGUGAAAGAAUACCUUAAGUCGUACAGAACAAGGCUACAGAAAGAAAAGACAUGCCUAUAUAAACAACUGGCAUGCCAAGAAUAGACCUAAAACUCAAUCUGUUCUCAGCAGCACGAACAAAAUUGACAGAACAUACAAUUUCAAUUUGACGUACGGCAACAUAGUCAAACAGCUUUUCAAUUCAGGUAUAGUUCUUCUCCCUCUCUAUUAAUCCUCAAUUACAAUCUAAUUCUAGCGUGCUACUCAACUAUAUUUUGGGGUUGUGGGACGGCUUCCAUAGGGCUCAAGUCCAUUAACAAACAUAGGGCACUGCAAUAUGGAAUUCACAUGGAGUUUGUAGAUCAGAUGAUGGUUCCCAUUAUAUUUUGCAUCACUACCUCAUCAAUUUUGUCCAAAAAGAAAACCUCAUUAAUCAGGUAUAGAUUGCUUCAGUCAGCUUCUACUAAAAAUACUGUAUUUAUGUACCACGUGAUGAUUGGAACAUAAAAUCCUCUUUAUCAUUAAAAAUUUCUACAAAAUCACUAGUCUUGAAAAUUGAUCGCCUUUAAUUCUACGACAAAAAUAUACUUUAAAAGGUAAAAAGUAAUAAAAAUUAUGAAUCUUCAUAAACUUGAACACUAAUAUGUAAUCAACAAUAGACCUACCACUGUAACAAAUGGGGCAAAUGACCAACGUCUCAAGUGCCGGGGCAGGGUACUCCCCUGUACAACGACUACAUUGAUCUUUAUCGGCGUCCGUUGCCUCAGCAAACCACAAUUUCUAGGUCUGCCACUUUCUGAAACAAUAUUAUAAUAUCAUUCACUUUAGCUGUAUAUUUGCACUCUCCAUUAUGCAGGAAUACACAAUGAAAAGAAAAGGUGGGCCACAUACCAAGGAAUGUUAGAAACCUACCGAGAUGGUUUAAACAAAUCAAAUAUGCAAUCCAACAAGGUGAUCCGAUACUAAUCUUGAAUAUUUUAUAUCUGCUAUCACAGUAUAAUAUUAAAAAAAAGCAACUCCAGUUAUGCACUAAAAGUUCCUAACUGAUUUUAGCUUCGACUAGAAAAACAAUAUUUUAAAUUGUUAUCUUAUUGAUGCAAAUCCAGACAAUCAGCAAAAUCGCAAGAUUAGAAAGGAGAAUGACACUUCAAGAGAGAGAAACAGAAGGUCUUCAAUCAUACAUGGAGAUGUGCCAGGCUCCGCAGACACACAAAAAGGACAACCUUUGAUACAUGUGAAGUAAGAAAAUCUUUCACAUAGUUUCUCUCUUAUGCAUGUUAUCAUUCAUUUGGAUUAAUUACAUUCUCAAUUCAAAUGUUAAACUUUAAGAUCAAUGCCGCACGGUUGGUAUUACAGUAUACAGGAAGCAACAUUAUGUACCGUGCCUAUGCUAUACACAUCAACUAUGCAAUCUAUGUGCUAAAAUCUUUCUAAAUAGAGAAAAAUUACCUUCACUAACUUAGUGAUUAUAAAGACCACCCGCCCAUGCAUUUCCGCAUCUUCAAGCGUGGCAAAUUUGUAAUGGCCCACUAAAUCACAAUAAAAUGCUACAAGUAUCAAUGAACUGUAGCUAAGGCAAAGAAAUAUUUUAAAGUUAACACGAGGAGUAAUAAAUUCCUUCUGCCAAACGUAACGUAAUCUCUCACUUCUAAUAAUUAGUAUUUAUGUUUAUGCAGGGCAAGUAACUCAACAAAAAAAGCAAAAGACACAAGACUACAUAGGAAAAGAAAAAUGCAAACCAAGAGGGUUGCAGAACCAUCAACAAAAGAAGGAGAUUCGCCCGGCUGAUAAAACUAUGAGGUAUGCAAAAAAUAAAUUACAAUCAGCAUCUAAAAUUUGGAGAUUCGUGGACCUGAUAUUUUCUGUUAUGUGCGUGUACAACAAAAAAGUAAUAAAAUGUCUACUACAUCGAAAACAAUGAGAAAGAAAUAAAAAAAUUACAAGUUCUAUCAAGUUAACAUAUUAUCAACAACACCAGACAUUACUAACAUUUAAAUUUAUGCUAAAUACAUAAACUUGAACAGGGAAUCGGAGAGGACUGAUGUGGAAAUUUGGAACUUCGAAAAACCAAAAUGCAAGUGUUAACAAUGCGGUGCAAUUUUCUGGUACAAAGAAAGAACUUCAGGUAGAGCGAAAAGCAUGCCAUCUUUUGGACUAUGCUGCCAACAUGGCAAAGUUGAUUUGCCACCAUUAAGAGAUCCCCCGACUUACCUUGUGAAAUUGCUAAGGAAAGACAAUGGAAAGAGGUAAAAAACUGCUUGCAAAAUAUCAGAUUGUACAACUCCAUGUUUACUUUCACAACAAUGGGAGGAAAAGUAGACAAACAAAUAAACAAUGGCAUUGGGCCAUAUGUUCUUAGAAUGAAUGAGAAAAACUACCACAUAAUAGGUACUAUACUACCUAAAGGUAAAGAUAAACCACGGUGGGCACAAUUGUACAUCUAUGACACUGGAAAUAAGGUAUGAAACAGGAUUAAUACGCCGACAACAGAAGAUAAAAGGGAUUCAAUAGAUCCUCACAUCAUCGAGGGCCUUAAAAGUUGGCAUACCUGUGAUGCUACUACGUAAUAUCAACCAAAGUGCUGGAUUAUGCAAUGGUACAAGGAUGACAAUUAUUCAACUCGGAAGAAAAUUCAUCGAAGCACAGAUAGUAACCGGAACACAUGCAGGAGAAAAGGUAUAUAUUCAAAGAAUAGUCAUGUCACCAACUGAAUCAGCAUGGCCAUUUGUUCUAAAAAGGAGACAAUAUCCUACAUCAGUUUGCUUUGCUAUGACUAUCAACAAAAGCCAGGGCCAAUCUCUGAACAAGGUAGGACUAUAUCUACCUAAACAAGUUUUCACACAUGGACAGUUAUACGUAGCCUUCUCAAGAGUAACAAAAAGGGAGGGACGGCAUGUAAUGGUAGAUGAUGAAGAUAGCAAUCGGGAUGAUGUGGUCAAGAAUAUACUUUAUACAGAAAUAUUCUAAAGGUAUGAACAAAAACAGAAUUUCAGCAUGAUGUUCUUUCACAAGAUGAGGCCAGUGGACUAUUACAUAUGAAUUACAUAUAUAUGAACUUACUACACUGCAAAAUCUCUUACAAAGAAAGUCUGACUUAAGUAUGAACAGGUGGAAAGACUUCACAAGUGGAAAGUAAUGCAAACUUGCAUCAACAGGUGGAAAGACUUCAUAACCAAACAUCAGAAAUCUAUAUUAUGUGAUAUUUGAUUCUAUAAGCUUAUUAUUUAAUAAAAAAUAGUGAAAGCAUCAAGACGUUAUACUGCGUAUGUACAAUGCUAUCAGACAUGUUUUCAUAUUAAGCUAUUAUCUAUUAAUUUUUUUUGUGAAAUAUUGCAAAAAUGCAUCAAUAAUUGGAAAUAGUUACAUUUUUAAAAUGUACACUAACUUAUUACAACCUCCGUUCCUAAGUAUAAGACCUUUUAGGGAUUCCAUUAUGGACUACAUAUGGAGCAAAAUGAUUGAAUGUACACUCUAAAAUAUGUCUAUAUACAUCCGUAUGUAGUUCGUAUUGAAAUCUCUAGAAGGGCUUCUAUUUAGAAACGGAGGGAUUAGCGUCUACUCUGUACCUCAUUCAACACUUAUAGAUCAAUUAAAAAACACAUGAUAUUAAAAAAAUUAAGGAAAAAAAUAAGAAAUAUUUACAGCUAACAAGCAUUUCCUUAAGUACAUUAUAUUGGUUGAGUGGCACAAGUACAGGAAAAGGCUAAGAUAAAGGGGAAAUAUUACAGUUAGCAAAAGGAAAAAUAAAGACAUGCAGUUCAACUUGGAACAAUGUUGCCAUUGCAGGCCUACGGGAGAUGAAAUCCACAUCCACGACCAAAUCAACUGCACGGACGACAACUUCGACGGAAGCGUCCAAAUCGAUGAUCUCGCCUACUCCCUGGUGCAGUAAAUCCUUGGGCCCUGCUAACCCUCAAUUGCCGUCGAUGGUCACCCUGUCAAAGCAUCAGGUGCAGGUGUUGCUUCAGGUUAGGACGAGCAUCUUGAAUGCAGUGAAUCAAAAGAGCAACCUGAUGGGAGCUAUCCAA